GAUGAACGCUGGCGGCGUGCUUAACACAUGCAAGUCGAACGAUGAAGCCCAGCUUGCUGGGUGGAUUAGUGGCGGACGGGUGAGUAACACGUGAGUAACCUGCCCUUGACUCUGGGAUAAGCCUGGGAAACUGGGUCUAAUACUGGGUAUGACUUCUCAUCGCAUGGUGGGGGGUGGAAAGAUUUAUUGGUCUUGGAUGGACUCGCGGCCUAUCAGCUUGUUGGUGAGGUAAUGGCUCACCAAGGCGACGACGGGUAGCCGGCCUGAGAGGGUGACCGGCCACACUGGGACUGAGACACGGCCCAGACUCCUACGGGAGGCAGCAGUGGGGAAUAUUGCACAAUGGGCGCAAGCCUGAUGCAGCGACGCCGCGUGAGGGAUGACGGCCUUCGGGUUGUAAACCUCUUUCAGUAGGGAAGAAGCGAGAGUGACGGUACCUGCAGAAGAAGCGCCGGCUAACUACGUG
rnacentral:rRNA from 1 species